rnacentral:rRNA from 1 species
UGGGGAAUAUUGGACAAUGGGCGCAAGCCUGAUCCAGCCAUGCCGCGUGAGUGAUGAAGGCCCUAGGGUUGUAAAGCUCUUUCACCGGUGAAGAUAAUGACGGUAACCGGAGAAGAAGCCCCGGCUAACUUCGUGCCAGCAGCCGCGGUAAUACGAAGGGGGCUAGCGUUGUUCGGAUUUACUGGGCGUAAAGCGCACGUAGGCGGACUAUUAAGUCAGGGGUGUAAUCCCGGGGCUCAACCCCGGAACUGCCUUUGAUACUGGUAGUCUUGAGUUCGAGAGAGGUGAGUGGAAUUCCGAGUGUAGAGGUGAAAUUCGUAGAUAUUCGGAGGAACACCAGUGGCGAAGGCGGCUCACUGGCUCGAUACUGACGCUGAGGUGCGAAAGCGUGGGGAGCAAACAGG